UACGUAGGGGGCAAGCGUUGUCCGGAAUCACUGGGCGUAAAGCGCGCGCAGGCGGUCAUCUACGUCUGGGGUGAAAGCCCGGGAGCCUCAACUCCGGGAUUGCCUUGGAUACGGGAUGACUUGAGGAUCGGAGAGGCAAGGGGAAUUCCACGUGUAGCGGUGAAAUGCGUAGAGAUGUGGAGGAACACCUGUGGCGAAGGCGCCUUGCUGGCCGAUUUCUGACGCUGAGGCGCGAAAGCGUGGGGAGCAAACAGG
rnacentral:rRNA from 1 species